CGCGAUGUGGGGACGGAGAAGGUUAGGUCUACCAGGCGUUGGUUGUCCUGGGGAAAGGCUGUAGGCAUGAUUCUUAGGCAAAUCCGGGAAUCUCUAUGCCGAGCACCGAGACGAGUCCUAUGAGGACGAAGUGACUGACACCACGCUUCCAGGAAAAGCCACUAAGCUUCAGCUGUAGAAAAACCGUACCGCAAACCGACACAGGUAGGCAGGGUGAGAAUCCCAAGGCGCUUGAGAGAACUCGGGUGAAGGAACUAGGCAAAAUGGCACCGUAACUUCGGGAGAAGGUGCGCCUCUUGGUGUGGUCACGUGCGUGACUGAGCAUCGAGGGGUCGCAGUAACCUGGCCGCUGCGACUGUUUAUCAAAAACACAGCACUCUGCAAACACGAAAGUGGACGUAUAGGGUGUGACGCCUGCCCGGUGCUGGAAGGUUAAUUGAUGGGGUCAGCCGCAAGGCGAAGCUCUUGAUCGAAGCCCCAGUAAACGGCGGCCGUAACAAUAACGGUCCUAAGGUAGCGAAAUUCCUUGUCGGGUAAGUUCCGACCUGCACGAAUGGCGUAACGACAGCGGCGCUGUCUCCACCCGAGACUCAGUGAAAUUGAAAUCGCUGUGAAGAUGCAGCGUUCCCGCGGCAAGACGGAAAGACCCCGUGAACCUUUACUAUAGCUUUACACUGAACGUUGAGUUCUUCUGUGUAGGAUAGGUGGGAGGCUAUGAAACCAGGACGCUAGUUCUGGUGGAGCCAUCCUUGAAAUACCACCCUGAAGUGCUUGACGUUCUAACCUAGGUCCGUAAUCCGGAUCGGGGACCGUGUAUGGUGGGUAGUUUGACUGGGGCGGUCUCCUCCCAAAGAGUAACGGAGGAGCACGAAGGUACGCUCAGCGCGGUCGGACAUCGCGCACUGUGUGCAAAGGCAUAAGCGUGCUUGACUGCGAGAUCGACGGAUCAAGCAGGUACGAAAGUAGGUCUUAGUGAUCCGGUGGUUCUGUAUGGAAGGGCCAUCGCUCAACGGAUAAAAGGUACUCCGGGGAUAACAGGCUGAUACCGCCCAAGAGUUCAUAUCGACGGCGGUGUUUGGCACCUCGAUGUCGGCUCAUCACAUCCUGGGGCUGUAGCCGGUCCCAAGGGUAUGGCUGUUCGCCAUUUAAAGUGGUACGCGAGCUGGGUUCAGAACGUCGUGAGACAGUUCGGUCCCUAUCUGUCGUGGGCGUUGGAGAUUUGAGGGGGGCUGCUCCUAGUACGAGAGGACCGGAGUGGACGUUCCGCUGGUGUUCGGGUUGUCAUGCCCAUGGCAUUGCCCGGUAGCUACGAACGGAAGUGAUAACCGCUGAAAGCAUCUAAGCGGGAAGCACGCCCCAAGAUGAGAUCUCCCGAGAGCUUGACUCUCCUAAAGGCACCAUCAAGACUAGGUGGUUGAUAGGCACGGUGUGGAAGUGCAGCAAUGCAUUGAGCUUACGUGUACUAAUGAGCCGUGAGGCUUGAACAA
rnacentral:rRNA from 1 species